rnacentral:rRNA from 1 species
CCUACGGGGGGCAGCAGUGAGGAAUAUUGGUCAAUUGACGAGAGUCUGAACCAGCCAAGUAGCGUGAAGGAUGACUGCCCUAUGGGUUGUAAACUUCUUUUAUAUGGGAAUAAAAUGUUCCACGUGUGGGAUUUUGUAUGUACCAUAUGAAUAAGGAUCGGCUAACUCCGUGCCAGCAGCCGCGGUAAUACGGAGGAUCCGAGCGUUAUCCGGAUUUAUUGGGUUUAAAGGGAGCGUAGGUGGAUUGUUAAGUCAGUUGUGAAAGUUUGCGGCUCAACCGUAAAAUUGCAGUUGAAACUGGCAGUCUUGAGUACAGUAGAGGUGGGCGGAAUUCGUGGUGUAGCGGUGAAAUGCUUAGAUAUCACGAAGAACUCCGAUUGCGAAGGCAGUUCACUGGACUGCAACUGACACUGAGGCUCGAAAGUGUGGGUAUCAAACAGGAUUAGAUACCCGGGUAGUC